ensembl:lncRNA
CCCUAAUCAGCCGCCUGGGCCACCUGAAGCUGGUUAGCCUUAUUACACCAGACAGACCAAAGACACAGUGGAAGCAUGCUGGUGAAAGGAAUAACUGCGAUACAUCAAGUCAUCUUUAAGCCUUCCUCAUGAGAGUAUUCUGAAGAAAAACUGUCGGCAAAAAUAAUGGCUUGGUGGCAGGUGCUUUGUUUCAGCUCCCCGAACACACUGCCAGGUGCCUGACUUCGGUGUCCUUGGUAACGCUGUCUCUCAGGCCUCCCGUUGGACCGGGUGUGAGCUAGCUAGUAGCCAACGCCAGCAGAUCUGCUCACACCUGUGACCAUCACAUCAUGAAACACCGUCAUUAUCAACCUUGUCAGCGAAUGCAUGCUUGGUUUUUGUAGCACUAGGGAUUCAAAUGAAUAUAUUUCUGUUAUAUGUACUUUAUGGCCGUCAUAUGGCACAUGCCUGCACCAUUUGGAAAGAACAGUUGGCGGUUUUAAAUGCACCAAACAGCAGGCCCCAUCAGAAAUGGGCAUCUCCAUGCAACAGUGAAUACUGUUCCAUUGUUUGGCUCCAUCAUCUAAACAGUAAUGAUGAACAAUCUAUGGGAUUGUCCCCUGAACCGCUUUACCCCUCGGUGUUCUUUUCCUCCAUGUUUACUUCGGAUGAUGAGCUGAUUUUGCAAAUAUUAGCAUUUCUGAAGCGAUAAGCAGCAAAUGUAUGGUAAGUUUGACUAAAUAACCGAUUCAAACUCUGAAUAAACUAUCACAAUUAUAGUUGUGUGUGUGGGUGUGUGUUUGUGUGUGUGUGUGUUCCGAAAACAACAUUUUACCACUAGUUUAC